rnacentral:rRNA from 1 species
UGGGGAAUAUUGCGCAAUGGGCGAAAGCCUGACGCAGCGACGCCGCGUGAGGGAUGAAGGUUUUCGGAUCGUAAACCUCUGUCAGAAGGGAAGAAACCGCACUGUGCUAAUCAGCAGUGCCUUGACGGUACCUUCAAAGGAAGCACCGGCUAACUCCGUGCCAGCAGCCGCGGUAAUACGGAGGGUGCAAGCGUUAAUCGGAAUUACUGGGCGUAAAGCGCACGUAGGCUGCUUUGUAAGUCAGGGGUGGAAUCCCACGGCUCAACCGUGGAACUGCCUUUGAUACUGCUUAGCUUGAAUCCGGGAGAGGGUGGCGGAAUUCCAGGUGUAGGAGUGAAAUCCGUAGAUAUCUGGAGGAACAUCAGUGGCGAAGGCGGCCACCUGGACCGGUAUUGACGCUGAGGUGCGAAAGCGUGGGGAGCAAACAGG